GAUGAAGAACGUAGCGAAAUGCGAUAAGUAAUGUGAAUUGCAGAAUUCAGUGAAUCAUCGAAUCUUUGAACGCACAUUGCGCCCCUUGGUAUUCCAUGGGGCAUGCCUGUUCGAGCGUCAUUUGUACCUUCAAGCUCUGCUUGGUGUUGGGUGUUUGUCUCGCCUCUGCGUGUAGACUCGCCUCAAAACAAUUGGCAGCCGGCGUAUCGAUUUCGGAGCGCAGUACAUCUCGCGCUUUGCACUCAUAACGACGACGUCCAAAAGUACAUUUUUACACUCUUGACCUCGGAUCAGGUAGGGAUACCCGCUGAACUUAAGCAUAUCAAUAAGCGGAGGA
rnacentral:misc_RNA from 1 species